GAUGAACGCUGGCGGCGUGCCUAAUACAUGCAAGUCGAGCGAACGGACGAGAAGCUUGCUUCUCUGAUGUUAGCGGCGGACGGGUGAGUAACACGUGGAUAACCUACCUAUAAGACUGGGAUAACUUCGGGAAACCGGAGCUAAUACCGGAUAAUAUUUUGAACCGCAUGGUUGAAAAGUGAAAGACGGUCUUGCUGUCACUUAUAGAUGGAUCCGCGCUGCAGUAGCUAGUUGGUAAGGUAACGGCUUACCAAGGCAACGAUGCAUAGCCGACCUGAAGGGGUGAUCGGCCACACUGGAACUAGGACACGGUCCAACCUCCUACGGGAGGCAGCAGUAGGAAUACUGCCGCAAGGGGCGAAGGCCGAUCGGAGCAACGCCGCGUGAGUGAGAAGGGUCUUCGGAUCGUAAAACUCUGUGAUUAGGGGAAAGCAUAUGUGUAAAAAACUGUGAACAACUUGAGGUACCCUAAUCAGAAGGCCCCGCCAACCUCGUG
rnacentral:rRNA from 1 species